rnacentral:lncRNA from 1 species
UCAUAUAAUAUCUAAGGGAACAACUGAAAUACAACUAGAAAGAAAGGUGGAGAGAAAAGGCAUGCGAACGCCGUGUAGUUACCUCCAUGAUUUCCUAAGUCAGGAGCCUUGAUCAACAACUUCCACUGGAUCCAAAAUGUCUGAAUCUGCACAUGAGGUGUAGGGAGUAAGGUGAAUACACCAACUCAGUAAGUAGCAAGUCAAACCUUUGGACUAAUAGGUAGUGACGAACUCAAACUCAUCAAAGGUAAUAUAAUUAAUUUACAUAAACAUAGGCAUGAUUUUAAUUAAAUAAAAAGCUCGAACAGUAAAACAUAGUAGUUUAUACAUGGUAAGGAAAUGUAACUCUGCUAUGUCUACAUGCCAAUGCAUAUGUUGUAUGAAAUGCACCAUGCUGAGUGACUCAUGUGACCACAAUCUAAAUUCUCGUCCACUCAAUAUUGUAUGGCUCGCCCAAGGAAGAUCCAUCGCGGAUUAUAUACAUCUCUGACAGCAGUCACUCAGUACGGAUGAAGGCCAUUCCAGCCUAUGGAGAAGAUCCAUCUCCAAACAAUAACAACAACUACUCGGUACCGUAUAUGGCUCACAAGGCCUAAUGAAGAUACAUAUAUACACAUCACUGAUAACAGCCAUCCAUUACCAAGGAAGGCCAUUCCAGCCCUAUGGAGAAGUUCCAUCUCUAGGUAUAAAUACUUUGGACAAUGUCCAUGUCCAGGGAAGAUCCAUCCCUCAUUAUCAUCAAUUGCGCUCAAUGGGGUGUAAAGACUCGGAAGGGAUUCUCUUAGCCCAAUCAUUAUAACAAGCCAAUGAAUACAUAUUCAAUAUCUCGCUGUGACGUCCAUCCCAAUCUCAUACUGUCACUCAAUAUCAGGCUCUCGGCCUCACUCAGUCAUCAUUCUCCAGUCUCUCACAUACGAGCUCAAAUUCAUUAUACUAUCCCCGUAAAUGAUAUGAUGUGUCAAGUAACAAUAAUCGAGACUGAGCCAUAAUAUAAUAUGCAUGAACAGGACAGAGUAUAAAAUAUCAAUAAAGCUAAUGAUAUGACAACAAGAAACGACCUCUUGGGUCUCAACAAUAUUGGCGUGAAACCUUAACAUGAUAAUUAGCAUAAUUGCAGCUUAUUAACUUAAUCACAUAACUACAACAUAGAUAUAAUCAAGUAUUGGGUUCAAAAAUCGUACCACAAGCGUUUAUCCCUUGAAUCCCUAUCCAAAUCCUCUCAAAAAGCUCUCAAGCCGUCUAAAAAAUGGUGCAACAGAUCUUAAAAUCGCGAAGGAAAGCAUAUAUAGUUUCUGCCCAGGUGUUCCCGAACCUGCGGACCAAUUACCGCACCAGUGGACCACUUCUAUGGUCAAAAUAACUGCACCUGGGGUUUUCACUUAAGGGCCAAUUCUGCAUCUGUGGUUAGAACCGUCCGCACCUGCGAUCCGGCUCCAAAUGACCAAAAUCGCUUUUGCGACCUCUUCCAUGCAUCUACGACACCGCAUUUUGCGGUCCCCAAUUCACAGAUGCAGUUACGACAGGAAUAGAGCUGUCAAUAUGAGCUGGCCCGGGCUAGCCUAACCCAACCCACGUGGGCUUGAGCAAUUGACGGGCUGGGAUGGGCUAGCCCACCAUUUUGGUGGGCUUUAUAAUAGUCAGCGCAACCCAGCCCUACGUGGGCGACGGGCCCCCAUGGGCAGGGCCAUCAUUUUUUAAAAUAUAAUUUUAUAUUUUUUCUUUAACUUCUAACGUAAAAAAAAUAUUUAAAAGUUAAAAAAUAUCUUAUUGAAAUUUUUUUUGCAAAACUUAGUAACAUUUUAAACUAUUCCAAUAUAUCACAAUAAAUACUAAAACGUAAAAGACAAGACUAUAUUUCAAUCACUAAAAGCCAAAACUCAAAAUAAACUAUUCAAGAGAACGUCCAUGAUGCUUACGGGAUAUCCAACACAUCAUCUUCAUCAAACACAUUUGAAUCCGCUUGUGACAGGGUUGUCUUAACAUCUUCACUUUCAUCAACAUCUACAGUUCGUAUGCAAUAUUAAUUAGUUAAAUAUUAAGAGUACUUGAAUUAAUAAUAUUCAAAUUCAGAAAAAAAAUAUUACCAGUUUGAGUAUGGGAAAAGUCGUGCCACCAAUUUCGAGUAGUAACAAGUGUUUGGAUAAUUUAUCGGGGAGUGUCUGAAAAAAAUAUAUAUUCUUGUUUUAGUUACAGAGAAUACAGAUAGCAUUUAGAAGUUCUUCAAACCUAGUUUAAUAUUCAAUGAAAAAUAUUAUAAAUCUGAUCAUUAAUAUUAUCACUAUUUAAAAUCAUAACAACAAAUUUAAGAACUAAACAAAAAGAUACAACAAUAAAGUUAUUAUGAGAAAAAGAAAGAAAACUAACCUGUACGUCGUGGACUACGAGAGUGAAAGAGAGUUCCAGUUCCAA